GGCAAUGCCACAUCAGAUUUUUUUUUCCUUUUCAUUUUCUUUCUCGUCCACGACCCCCUCUCACUCUAUCUCCACCAUCUCCGGCACUCUCUCUUUCUCCCCUCUCGCCGGAAAUCAGAUUUUUUAUUUUUUCGUUUUCUUCCUCGUCUACAGCCCCCUCUUCCUCUCUUCUUUCUUCUUUUUCUUUUCCUCUUCGUUUUCUAUUUUUCUCUUCUUCCUCCCAGUUUCUCCUAAUUCUUCUCUCCCUUCACUUUCUUGUUCUUCCUUUCUCGGUGAAACAGAGAGAGUGAGAGUGAGAGAGGGAGAGGGAGAGAGAUACACGAAGAGAGACGAGAAGAGAGUCCUGGAGAGGGAGAGAUCAGACCCCGAGAGUGAACCCAUGAGGCUGGAGGACCGAACAGAGGGACCCGAUCCUUCUGGGGGUCCGGUCAAUGGUGGGUCGUCGGAGGGCGCGUAUUCCGGAUACUUUCGUGGAGGAUUUUACCGGUGAGAAAAGAGGCGAUUUCUGUCGGAAUUUUCCGGUGGAUUUUCUGCACUGAGCGGAAAUUCCCCUAUAUGGUGAUCUAGCCGAGUGUGUGUGGUGUUUGCCCGGGUCCCCUGUUUCGGCCGGUUGUGCGUAGAGAUGUUGGAUCUUCUGUUUUGGUUGUGUGUAGCAUUUUGGCCGAUUGUAUUGGUGACUAGAGCUCGAGAUCUGGACGGCCGGCGAGAGGAGAGAGAGAGUGCCGAAGACGGAGAUUUCUUGGGGUUGUACAUGUUUCUUCUCCGGUCAGGGGAUGGGUGUGCCAACGCUGAGAAGAGGAAAAUAAAAAAUACUGAUGAAACAGAAGGAAGAAGAGAAGCAAGGGACUGUCGACGCUGAGAAGAGAAGAGAAGAAUGGGUGUAAGUGGAAAGCUGAUGUGGCUGUUGCCAGGUCAGGGACUCAGGGUGUAAGAAGAUAGGAGUAGGGGAUGGGUUAAGUGUAGCAUUCCCCUAUCUCUUUUCCUUUUUCCUUCUCUUUUCUUUCUCUUAUGUUCUUUUCCUCCUCACGCACGCACGCACGCAGUUCCGAGUUCGUGUAUCCGGCACACCCUUGUCAGUUGUCACACUAUCAUCCAUUCAUCCGACUUUCAUAAACACGUGGCACUUCUUCUUUUUUUAAAAACAAAAAUUCAUGAAAUGCGCGGUACUCUCAUAACAAAACAGAAUUCAAAAACUUUCUCUCUCUGUCUCUGUCUCUCGCUCUCAUCUUCUCGCCGGAAUCUCCCCCUUUUCGACGGACCUCACGUUCUUCCGCCGUAUCUCGCUUUCUCUCGCCUGGAACCAUCGGAUCUCGCCGGAACUCCCUCUCUUCUCGCCAGGUUUUACCGUAAACUCUCUCUCUCGACGGAUCUCGCCAGGUCUUGCUGUAAACUCUCAUUCUCCCACAGGAUCUCGCUUGCUCUAGCCGGGAACCUACGGAUCUCGCCGAAACUCUCUUGCCGGAUCUAUCUCACCGGAGUUAAAAAUGGGAGCUUUUGUUCGAGAUAUUAAAUGUGAGUAAUGAGGAGUAGCACUCAAUCCUUCCGCCAGAUUUUAGAAAAAUUCAAAGCAGACGAAAAGCACUUAUUGUAUCAAACAGCUUAGAGCAUUCCUAGUAGCCUCACCAAAUUUUACUCACCAAAAUAGUUAAAAAUCACUUUUUUCUAUUCUGGUGAGCCACUUUAUUAAAAUUUCCCUAGCAGCCUCACCAAA